UGGCGGACGGGUGAGUAACGCGUAAAGAACUUGCCCUUUAGACUGGGAUAACAGAGGGAAACUUCUGAUAAUACUGGAUAAGUUAGUAUAUCGCAUGAUAUACAAAUGAAAGCUACGGCACUAAAGGAGAGCUUUGCGUCCUAUUAGCUAGUUGGUAAGGUAAGAGCUUACCAAGGCGAUGAUAGGUAGCCGGCCUGAGAGGGUGAACGGCCACAAGGGGACUGAGACACGGCCCUUACUCCUACGGGAGGCAGCAGCG
rnacentral:rRNA from 1 species